AUUGAACGCUGGCGGCAUGCUUUACACAUGCAAGUCGAACGGUAACAGGUUAAGCUGACGAGUGGCGAACGGGUGAGUAAUGCAUCGGAACGUGCCCGGUCGUGGGGGAUAACGCAGCGAAAGCUGCGCUAAUACCGCAUACGAUCUGAGGAUGAAAGCGGGGGACCGUAAGGCCUCGCGCGAUCGGAGCGGCCGAUGUCAGAUUAGGUAAUUGGUGGGGUAAGGCUCACCAAGCCAACGAUCUGUAGCUGGUCUGAGAGGACGACCAGCCACACUGGGACUGAGACACGGCCCAGACUCCUACGGGAGGCAGCAGUGGGGAAUUUUGGACAAUGGGCGAAAGCCUGAUCCAGCAAUGCCGCGUGCGGGAAGAAGGCCUUCGGGUUGUAAACUGCUUUUGUACGGAGCGAAAAGGUCUCCUCUAAUACAGGGGGCUCAUGACGGUACCGUAAGAAUAAGCACCGGCUAACUACGUGCCAGCCGCCGCGGUAA
rnacentral:rRNA from 1 species